UUUGAAAGCGGUGGAUGAGUGGCGAACUGCUAUAAAUGAGUUAUUCCUCGCAGAUUGUGGAGGGAAGAGGGCUAGUGCCUAGUGGUGACUGGUGAGAAAGUAAGAAGUCGUUGGUGUUGUCCGGAAGCUAUGGCUGAUUGGUGUUGAGAGAGAGAUGGACACAAUAUGGAAAAACAAUUUUUUGGCAAUUUUAAUUCAUUUUUUUCUGAUGAAUCUGCUUUAAAAAAAUAGGCUUUCUUGUGUUUAAUUGGUUUAAAAUUAUAGUGGGUUAAUAGAAAACCAAUUAAAACCAUGGUCUAUGGACAAUUAAGUUUUGAACUAUAGAUUUGGGGAGAAAUCAAUUUUCAAUUUAU
rnacentral:lncRNA from 1 species